AGCGAACGCUGGCGGCAGGCCUAACACAUGCAAGUCGAACGGAUCCUUCGGGAUUAGUGGCGGACGGGUGAGUAACACGUGGGAACGUGCCUUUUGGUUCGGAACAACUCAGGGAAACUUGGGCUAAUACCGGAUGUGCCCUUCGGGGGAAGGAUUUAUCGCCAUUGGAGCGGCCCGCGUCUGAUUAGCUAGUUGGUGAGGUAAAGGCUCACCAAGGCGACGAUCAGUAGCUGGUCUGAGAGGAUGAUCAGCCACAUUGGGACUGAGACACGGCCCAAACUCCUACGGGAGGCAGCAGUGGGGAAUCUUGCGCAAUGGGCGAAAGCCUGACGCAGCCAUGCCGCGUGAAUGAUGAAGGUCUUAGGAUUGUAAAAUUCUUUCACCGGGGACGAUAAUGACGGUACCCGGAGAAGAAGCCCCGGCUAACUUCGUGCCAGCCGCCGCCGUAAGAC
rnacentral:rRNA from 1 species